rnacentral:rRNA from 1 species
GAUGAACGCUGGCGGCGUGCCUAAUACAUGCAAGUCGAGCGAACAGAUAAGGAGCUUGCUCCUUUGACGUUAGCGGCGGACGGGUGAGUAACACGUGGAUAACCUACCUAUAAGACUGGGAUAACUUCGGGAAACCGGAGCUAAUACCGGAUAACAUAUUGAACCGCAUGGUUCAAUAGUGAAAGGCGGCUUUGCUGUCACUUAUAGAUGGAUCCGCGCCGUAUUAGCUAGUUGGUAAGGUGACGGCUUACCAAGGCAACGAUACGUAGCCGACCUGAGAAGGUGAUCGGCCACACUGGAACUGAGACACGGUCCAGACUCCUACGGGAGGCAGCAGUAGGGAAUCUUCCGCAAUGGGCGAAAGCCUGACGGAGCAACGCCGCGUGAGUGAUGAAGGUCUUCGGAUCGUAAAACUCUGUUAUCAGGGAAGAACAAAUGUGUAAGUAACUGUGCACAUCUUGACGGUACCUGAUCAGAAAG